rnacentral:rRNA from 1 species
ACACAAAAAUGCACAUGCUGUGAGCUCGAUGAGUAGGGCGGGACACGUGGUAUCCUGUCUGAAUAUGGGGGGACCAUCCUCCAAGGCUAAAUACUCCUGACUGACCGAUAGUGAACCAGUACCGUGAGGGAAAGGCGAAAAGAACCCCGGCGAGGGGAGUGAAAAAGAACCUGAAACCGUGUACGUACAAGCAGUGGGAGCACGCUUAGGCGUGUGACUGCGUACCUUUUGUAUAAUGGGUCAGCGACUUAUAUUCUGUAGCAAGGUUAACCGAAUAGGGGAGCCGAAGGGAAACCGAGUCUUAACUGGGCGUUAAGUUGCAGGGUAUAGACCCGAAACCCGGUGAUCUAGCCAUGGGCAGGUUGAAGGUUGGGUAACACUAACUGGAGGACCGAACCGACUAAUGUUGAAAAAUUAGCGGAUGACUUGUGGCUGGGGGUGAAAGGCCAAUCAAACCGGGAGAUAGCUGGUUCUCCCCGAAAGCUAUUUAGGUAGCGCCUCGUGAAUUCAUCUCCGGGGGUAGAGCACUGUUUCGGCAAGGGGGUCAUCCCGACUUACCAACCCGAUGCAAACUGCGAAUACCGGAGAAUGUUAUCACGGGAGACACACGGCGGGUGCUAACGUCCGUCGUGAAGAGGGAAACAACCCAGACCGCCAGCUAAGGUCCCAAAGUCAUGGUUAAGUGGGAAACGAUGUGGGAAGGCCCAGACAGCCAGGAUGUUGGCUUAGAAGCAGCCAUCAUUUAAAGAAAGCGUAAUAGCUCACUGGUCGAGUCGGCCUGCGCGGAAGAUGUAACGGGGCUAAACCAUGCACCGAAGCUGCGGCAGCGACGCUUAUGCGUUGUUGGGUAGGGGAGCGUUCUGUAAGCCUGCGAAGGUGUGCUGUGAGGCAUGCUGGAGGUAUCAGAAGUGCGAAUGCUGACAUAAGUAACGAUAAAGCGGGUGAAAAGCCCGCUCGCCGGAAGACCAAGGGUUCCUGUCCAACGUUAAUCGGGGCAGGGUGAGUCGACCCCUAAGGCGAGGCCGAAAGGCGUAGUCGAUGGGAAACAGGUUAAUAUUCCUGUACUUGGUGUUACUGCGAAGGGGGGACGGAGAAGGCUAUGUUGGCCGGGCGACGGUUGUCCCGGUUUAAGCGUGUAGGCUGGUUUUCCAGGCAAAUCCGGAAAAUCAAGGCUGAGGCGUGAUGACGAGGCACUACGGUGCUGAAGCAACAAAUGCCCUGCUUCCAGGAAAAGCCUCUAAGCAUCAGGUAACAUCAAAUCGUACCCCAAACCGACACAGGUGGUCAGGUAGAGAAUACCAAGGCGCUUGAGAGAACUCGGGUGAAGGAACUAGGCAAAAUGGUGCCGUAACUUCGGGAGAAGGCACGCUGAUAUGUAGGUGAAGUCCCUCGCGGAUGGAGCUGAAAUCAGUCGAAGAUACCAGCUGGCUGCAACUGUUUAUUAAAAACACAGCACUGUGCAAACACGAAAGUGGACGUAUACGGUGUGACGCCUGCCCGGUGCCGGAAGGUUAAUUGAUGGGGUCAGCGCAAGCGAAGCUCUUGAUCGAAGCCCCGGUAAACGGCGGCCGUAACUAUAACGGUCCUAAGGUAGCGAAAUUCCUUGUCGGGUAAGUUCCGACCUGCACGAAUGGCGUAAUGAUGGCCAGGCUGUCUCCACCCGAGACUCAGUGAAAUUGAACUCGCUGUGAAGAUGCAGUGUACCCGCGGCAAGACGGAAAGACCCCGUGAACCUUUACUAUAGCUUGACACUGAACAUUGAGCCUUGAUG